AGAAGACGUAGCAAUACGUUUGUAAAGCGGCGAACGGGUGAGGAAUACAUGGGUAACCUACCCUAGAGUGGGGAAUAACUAGCCGAAAGGUUAGCUAAUACCGCGUACGCUCCUUGGACUUCGGUACAGGGAGGAAAGCGAUACCGUGGGUAUCGCGCUCUUGGAUGGGCUCAUGUCCUAUCAGCUUGUUGGUGAGGUAACGGCUCACCAAGGCUUCGACGGGUAGCUGGUCUGAGAGGACGAUCAGCCACACUGGCACUGCGACACGGGCCAGACUCCUACGGGAGGCAGCAGUAAGGAAUAUUGCGCAAUGGGCGAAAGCCUGACGCAGCGACGCCGCGUGGGGGAUGAAGGUCUUCGGAUUGUAAACCCCUUUCGGGAGGGAAGAUGGAACGAGCAAUCGUUCGGACGGUACCUCCAGAAGCAGCCACGGCUAACUUCGUGCCAGCAGCCGCGGUAAUACGAAGGUGGCAAGCGUUGUUCGGAUUUACUGGGCGUACAGGGAGCGUAGGCGGUUCGGUAAGCCCUCUGUGAAAUCUCCAGGCUUAACCUGGAACAGUCGGAGGGGACUGCUGGGCUAGAGGACGGGAGAGGAGCGCGGAAUUCCCGGUGUAGCGGUGAAAUGCGUAGAGAUCGGGAGGAAGGCCGGUGGCGAAGGCGGCGCUCUGGAACGUUUCUGACGCUGAGGCUCGAAAGCGUGGGGAGCAAACAGGAUUAGAUACCCUGGUAGUCCACGCCUUAAACUAUGAAUACUAAGUGUCGGCGGUUUACCGCCGGUGCCGCAGCUAACGCAUUAAGUAUUCCGCCUGGGAAGUACGGCCGCAAGGUUG
rnacentral:rRNA from 1 species